AGCCCCCUAGUGUAGUGGCCAAAGAUCUUUGAGCACCACUCUGGAGCGGCAAUUCAUGAGAGGCCCUGGCCCUCUCGACGCAGGUUCGAAUCCUGCGGGGGCUA
rnacentral:tRNA from 1 species